rnacentral:rRNA from 1 species
GAUGAACGCUGGCGGCGUGCCUAAUACAUGCAAGUCGAGCGGUAAGGCCCUUCGGGGUACACGAGCGGCGGACGGCUGAGUAACACGUAGGAACGUACCCCAAACUACGGGAUAAGAACCAGAAAUGGUUUCUAAUACCCCAUGUGGCCAACGGGCUAAAGCUCCGGCGGUUUGGGAACGGCCUGCGUCCGAUUAGCUAGUUGGUAGUGUAAUAGACUACCAAGGCGACGAUCGGUAGCUGGUCUGAGAGGAUGAUCAGCCAGACUGGGACUGAGACACGGCCCAGACUCCUACGGGAGGCAGCAGUAGGGAAUUUUCCACAAUGGGGGCAACCCUGAUGGAGCAACGCCGCGUGCAGGAUGAAGGCCUUCGGGUUGUAAACUGCUUUUAUCUGUGACGAUUAUGACGGUAGCAGAUGAAUAAGGACCUGCUAACUACGUGCCAGCCGCCGCCGUAA